rnacentral:lncRNA from 1 species
AUUGUUACCUGCAGACGUUCCACCGGCGGCCAUGCGCUCAUCGCUACGACCGCCACGUGAUCCUCGGGCUCCAUCCUGGGUCCGCGCGGGGAGCACCGAAGCCCGACGCAACCUCUAGGCCAGAAAAUCGCCCCUACUGAGGAAAACACCCGAUUCGUCGCCCGCCGGACAAUGGCGGCGGCGCGGGGGGGGGAUAAUGCUGCGCCUACAACUCCCAGAAGGCCACGCGGUGGGGUGCUGGACCAAUGGGAACUCCUACCCGCUGGGCCUUCGACCAACGGGACGUUUUACCCUUUGGCGAAUGGAAAUUCCCGUACUCCGGAUUUCUGCCAACGGGGCUUUCUGGCUCACUGGCCAAUAGGAACUCAUGUUCUCAGGCUUUCCACCAAUCGAGCAUUCUGGCCCUUCCGGCGGUGUCCUAGCUGUGGAGCCUGGGGCGUCUGCACCAGAGCUGUGGUGGACCGAGAGCGGCGGAAGCUGGGGUAUUUGUUUUAUCCUGGUGAAAAAAGUGAUUUUGUUUUGUCCCACUAGAUCCCUGUGUAAUCUGAGAUCCUCAAUCAAUUCUUGGCAACCAAGGACUCAGAUUCUCCAAUGACUGGAAAAAGAAGAAAGAGAGGACAGCAAAUUUAGUGCCAAAACGGGAGAUAGCAUCUUCACAAUAUCAGGACUGAAUCUGACCCGGACACAAGGGCCAGAACUAGUA